CAGAUGCGAAGAUGAUGACGGUAACAUCAGAAGAAGCCCCGGCUAAUUUCGUGCCAGCAGCCGCGGUAAUACGAAAGGGGCUAGCGUUGUUCGGAUUUACUGGGCGUAAAGGGCACGCAGGCGGUCUUGCCAGUCAGGGGUGAAAGCCCGGGGCUCAACCCCGGAACUGCCUCUGAUACUGCAAGACUAGAGACUAGGAGAGGGUGGUGGAAUUCCCAGUGUAGAGGUGAAAUUCGUAGAUAUUGGGAGGAACACCAGAGGCGAAGGCGGCCACCUGGACUAGAUCUGACGCUCAGGUGCGAAAGCGUGGGGAGCAAACAGGAUUAGAUACCCUGGUAGUCCACGCCGUAAACGAUGAGUGCUAGUUGUCGGGAUUUCGAUUUCGGUGACGCAGCUAACGCAUUAAGCACUCCGC
rnacentral:rRNA from 1 species